CCUAUCAGGUAGUAGUGGGUGUAAUGUACCUACUAGCCUACGACGGGUACGGGUUGUGAGAGCAAGAGCCCGGAGAUGGAUUCUGAGACAUGAAUCCAGGCCCUACGGGGCGCAGCAGGCGCGAAAACUUUACAAUGCGGGAAACCGUGAUAAGGGGACACCGAGUGCCAGCAUCAUAUGUUGGCUGUCCAGAUGUGUAAAAUACAUCUGUUAGCAAGGGCCGGGCAAGACCGGUGCCAGCCGCCGCGGUAACACCGGCGGCCCGAGUGGUGAUCGUGAUUAUUGGGUCUAAAGGGUCCGUAGCCGGUUUGGUCAGUCCUCCGGGAAAUCUGACGGCUCAACCGUUAGGCUUUCGGUGGAUACUGCCAGACUUGGAACCGGGAGAGGUAAGAGGUACUACAGGGGUAGGAGUGAAAUCUUGUAAUCCCUGUGAGACCACCUGUGGCGAAGGCGUCUUACCAGAACGGGUUCGACGGUGAGGGACGAAAGUUGGGGGCACGAACCGGAUUAGAUACCCGGGUAGUCCCAGCCGUAAACGAUGCUCGCUAGGUGUCACGCAUGGCGCGACCGUGUCUGGUGCCGCAGGGAA
rnacentral:rRNA from 1 species